rnacentral:rRNA from 1 species
AGAGUUUGAUCCUGGCUCAGAACGAACGCUGGCGGCGUGGAUAAGACAUGCAAGUCGAGCGCUGAUUUCAGGGUAGCAAUAUUCUGAGGUCGGAGCGGCGCAAGGGUGCGUAACACGUGGGUAAUCUGCCAUGAAGUUCGGGAUAACUUGCUGAAAGGCGAGCUAAUACCGGAUGUGACAACUGGGAGGCAUCUUCUGGUUGUUAAAGUUGGGGACCGUAAGGCCUGACGCUUCUUGAUGAACCCGCGGCCUAUCAGCUAGUUGGUGAGGUAACGGCCCACCAAGGCUAAGACGGGUAGCUGGUCUGAGAGGACGACCAGCCACACUGGAACUGAGACACGGUCCAGACACCUACGGGUGGCAGCAGUCGAGAAUUUUUCACAAUGGGCGCAAGCCUGAUGGAGCGACGCCGCGUGGGGGAUGAAUGGCUUCGGCCCGUAAACCCCUGUCAUUCGCGAUCAAACGUUAUUAUUUAAAAGAUGAUGACCUGAUAGUAGCGGAAGAGGAAGGGACGGCUAACUCUGUGCCAGCAGCCGCGGUAAUACAGAGGUCCCAAGCGUUGUUCGGAUUCACUGGGCGUAAAGGGUGCGUAGGUGGUGAGGUAAGUCGGAUGUGAAAUCUCGGAGCUCAACUCCGAAAUGGCAUUGGAAACUACCUUGCUCGAGGGUUGGAGGGGGGACUGGAAUACUUGGUGUAGCAGUGAAAUGCGUAGAUAUCAAGUGGAACACCAGUGGCGAAAGGCGAGUCCCUGGACAACUCCUGACACUGAGGCACGAAAGCUAGGGGAGCAAACAGGAUUAGAUACCCUGGUAGUCCUAGCCGUAAACGGUGCACGUUUGCUGUAAAAGGAAUCGACCCCUUUGUGGCGGAGCCAACGCGUUAAACGUGCCGCUGGAGUACGGUCGCAGAUAAACUCAAGAAAUUGACGGGGCCUGCACAAGCGGUGGAGUUUGUGGCUCAAUUCGAUG